rnacentral:rRNA from 1 species
AAUGAACGCUGGCGGCAGGCCUAACACAUGCAAGUCGAACGGAAGCACAGUAAGAGCUCGCCCUUACCGGUGGCGAGUGGCGGAUGGGUGACGCGUACAUAAGCUUCUUCUUAUUCUGGGGGGAUUACGUAGAGACACUUACACUAAUACCGCAUAUGAUCUACCGGUGAAUGCAGGAGUGCUACACACUUUGCGUGUCUGAAAGAGACGAUGUCGGAUUAGCUAGUUGGCGGGGUAAAGGCACACCAAGGCGACGAUACGUAGCUGGUCUGAGAGGAUGAUCAGCCACACUGGAACUGAGACACGGUCCAGACUCCUACGGGAGGCAGCAGUGGGGAAUAUUGGACAAUGGGCGAAAGCCUGAUCGAGCCAUGCCGCGUGGGUGAUGAAGGUCUUCGGGUUGUAAAGCCCUUUUGUUGGGAAAGAAAAGCAGCAUAUUAAUACACCGCUGUUCUGACGGUACCCAAAGAAUAAGCACCGGCUAACUUCGUG